GUAGUUCGACUCGUGCACGAGACACGCUGGCGGCGUGCCUAAUACAUGCAAGUCGAGCGGACUUGACGGAGCUUGCUCUGUUCAAGUUAGCGGCGGACGGGUGAGUAACACGUGGGUAACCUGCCUGUAAGACUGGGAUAACUCCGGGAAACCGGGGCUAAUACCGGAUAUUCGUUUUUCUUCGCAUGAAGAAGAAUGGAAAGGCGGCUUUUAGCUGUCACUUACAGAUGGACCCGCGGCGCAUUAGCUAGUUGGUGAGGUAACGGCUCACCAAGGCGACGAUGCGUAGCCGACCUGAGAGGGUGAUCGGCCACACUGGGACUGAGACACGGCCCAGACUCCUACGGGAGGCAGCAGUAGGGAAUCUUCCGCAAUGGACGAAAGUCUGACGGAGCAACGCCGCGUGAGUGAAGAAGGUUUUCGGAUCGUAAAGCUCUGUUGUCAGGGAAGAACAAGUACCAAAGUAACUGUUGGUACCUUGACGGUACCUGACCAGAAAGCCACGGCUAACUACGUG
rnacentral:rRNA from 1 species